GAUGAACGCUGGCGGCGUGCCUAAUACAUGCAAGUCGAGCGAACAGACGAGGAGCUUGCUCCUCUGACGUUAGCGGCGGACGGGUGAGUAACACGUGGAUAACCUACCUAUAAGACUGGGAUAACUUCGGGAAACCUGAUCUAAUACCGGAUAAUAUAUUGAACCGCAUGGUUCAAUAGUGAAAGACGGUUUUGCUGUCACUUAUAGAUGGAUCCGCGCCGAAUUAGCUAGUUGGUAAGGUAACGGCUUACCAAGGCAACGAUGCGUAGCCGACCUGAGAGGAGGAUCGGCCAAACUGGAACUGAGACACGGUCCAGACUCCUACGGGAGGCAGCAGUGGGGAAUCUUCCGCAAUGGGCGAAAGCCUGACGGAGCAACGCCGCGUGAGUGAUGAAGGUCUUCGGAUCGUAAAACACUGUUAUUAGGGAAGAACAAAUGUGAAAGUAACUAUGCACGUCUUGACGGUACCUAAUCAGAAAGCCACGGCUAACUACGUG
rnacentral:rRNA from 1 species